GAUGAACGCUGGCGGCGUGCCUAAUACAUGCAAGUCGAGCGAACAGACGAGGAGCUUGCUCCUCUGACGUUAGCGGCGGACGGGUGAGUAACACGUGGAUAACCUACCUAUAAGACUGGGAUAACUUCGGGAAACCGGAGCUAAUACCGGAUAAUAUAUUGAACCGCAUGGUUCAAUAGUGAAAGACGGUUUUGCUGUCACUUAUAGAUGGAUCCGCGCCGCAUUAGCUAGUUGGUAAGGUAACGGCUUACCAAGGCAACGAUGCGUAGCCGACCUGAGAGGGGGUUCGGCCACACGGAAACGGAGACACGGCCCAGACCCUUAGGGGAGGCAGAGGAGGGAAAUCUUCGGAAAGGGGCGAAAGCUUGACGAAGAAACGCCAGGGAGUUGUGGAAGGGUUUCGAUUGGUAAAACCUUGUUAUUGGGGAAAAACAAUUGUGAAGUUAACAAUGAACGCUUGAACGUAACCUAUUCAAAAGGCAACGCCAAACAAGUG
rnacentral:rRNA from 1 species